UGGUGGAUAUUGCACAAUGGGCGAAAGCCUGAUGCAGCGACGCCGCGUGGGGGAUGAAGGCUUUCGGGUUGUAAACCUCUUUCGCUAUCGAACAAGGCCCGCUUAGGGUGGGUUGAGGGUAGGUGGAGAAGAAGCGCCGGCUAACUACGUGCCAGCAGCCGCGGUAAUACGUAGGGCGCGAGCGUUGUCCGGAAUUAUUGGGCGUAAAGGGCUUGUAGGCGGCUUGUUGCGCCUGCUGUGAAAACGCGGGGCUUAACUUCGCGCGUGCAGUGGGUACGGGCAGGCUUGAGUGUGGUAGGGGUGACUGGAAUUCCAGGUGUAGCGGUGGAAUGCGCAGAUAUCUGGAGGAACACCGAUGGCGAAGGCAGGUCACUGGGCCAUUACUGACGCUGAGGAGCGAAAGCAUGGGUAGCGAACAGG
rnacentral:rRNA from 1 species